CAUACUAGUCGUCGAUUUCAAAGAUGCGAAAUCAAUCUUAACCGUCCAUCGCAACCCUUAUCCCAUUAUAAAAGUUACGUUAGGGUGGAUGGCUCUAAACCAUUCAGGUUUCAACGCUACCUUAUGUUCUCUUUCUCUCUCCACAACUCUAUAGUUCCUCUAUUUCUGCAGAUCUUCUCUGCAUGGAUUAUUAUCUUCGUCUGAUUCUUCCGGAUUCGUGUAGAUCCGCUUGGGAUCUACCCGUUGAUGGUGGCUUGUGGUUGUGAAGAUGGUUUGAGAUGCUUUUGGAGUUUUGCUGGUUUGACCAGCUUGUGCUUGUGUACUUUGAUUCAGAUUUUAAAGAUGCAUCUACCGACCUCUUACACUGAUGGAGGUUCGAAGCCUUGAUGUUUCCGAGAUCAAUUCGAUCGACAUCGUUUCAACAUCUGCAGAUCUGAUUUCUCCUUGCGGCUGAAGGGUGCAAACUCAUGUAUAUUGGUUAAUCGAAAGCUAUAACUGUAAUAUGAUGAUUUGGAAGGUGAAAGCUGUGGUAUUUUUGGGUGGAUUUGGGUUUGCACGGAUGUAAGAGAUGUCGGGACGAAAGGCUCGGUGGAAGAGCUGAGUCCUUGGCCGAUCUUUGUCAUCCGGCCUUUGCCAUGGCAGGUGCGCUUGCAUGGCAGGUCAAAAAAUCUGAAUAAAAAAAAUAAAGAUUUUUGGUUUUGAGGGGAGACAGCAUGGGGUUUUUUUGGCCCAGGGUCUCCCCUCCGGUGUGUGGUGUGUGUCCCUUCCUUUUGUGCUGUGUUUUAUUUUCCGCUCUACUGCCUGCGCAUUCAAACACGGAUUCAGCACAUCAACGACGGCAUAACUCACCGCCAAAGGUAUUAUCUGACUGCCUAUUUCCAUUGAUAUGCAUCUGAUACUAUAUUAGCUCCAGUUACACAGAAAACCCGUAAUUAUUAUGCACCAUUAGUUCGCCUCAUGCUCAAUUUACUUCAAAUUAAUGUGGGUUUAAUCGUAUUUGUAGUCCAAUUAUCUAAUCUGGGUUAAUAUUAAAGAUUGAUGUAAUCCAAUAUAACCGGGUACAUGAGGAUUGGUAGACAUGCAUGAUAAUGUUUUUUGUCAGUUAGCUGAAUUAUGUUAUUCAAACUACUUCACUUGAUUCCAAGGUAAAGGGAGUUAAUGCAACCCUAACUGUAUAUAGAAAAUGCCUGGAAGACCAACUAUUUAGACUAAAGUUUUUAAACCAUAUGAUGUGGUUGUUGAUGAUUGGAUUAUUACUGGAGUCCUUAUUUUAGGUUUUUUUAUUAUUUUUUUUUGAACAAACGAUACUAUCGGAUUGGUGAAUGGGCUUAAGCAGGUUAAAAUUUGCUUUACGCGAAAAUUGAACUUAUGACCUAUCAAUUACAAGUGAAGUAUUAUUGUGAACCAAAUCUAAAAAUUUGGUCCACCUUGCAUUACUUCUAUAUAUGGUUACAAUGUUAUCCUCGAAUUAUUUUCUCUACUUAACAGAAAUAUCUUUCCAAAUUAUCCUGGAUUGUAAAGUAUGUGUUGACUUGCCUCAAGGCAUUUGUUAUUGGAUUCGAUACACUUGCAUCAAUAAUCAAUUGUACCCCAUUUAUAUGUACGAAACUCCCGUCCUUGUGCACUCAUUCAAUGUAACCUACGUUGUUUUUGGAAUUCAUAUUUACAAUAUGCUUAUAAUCCUUUCCAAAUAUUGCCUCGUGCCUUCUUUACGACAUUAUGUUGAAUGAGCUGAAAAUUUUAUUACCAGUCUUGAAGUUGGAAUUUAAGUUUUGUGUUGUACGCUGAAUUUUUUGUGGGUAUUGAUUACAAUUCAAGUUAAUAAUGUAUUCUUGGAGAUGAUAUUAUGUGGAUCCCUUGUAAUACUCUGUAAUUUUGUUGCCUUUGGCUGCUAUUGCUUCAAUAUUUGAAGAUUGUAUUACCAUUAGAUGGCACCAAGGAUUUUGGCAACCGGACUAACCGGUACUCUCUCAUCUGCGAAGACUGAAGCCCGAAUGUUUCUUCAAUUGCAAGAUAAUCGAAUUAUGUGCUGUUCGUUUGUGGGGAUUAUCUAAUCCCGUCUGCAAUCUGGAUUCGGGGAUUUUGAGGUGAACAACGAAACGAGUUUUGCUUUCUAUUGCCAUUUCAACAAUUACUUGCAUACGUAGAGAUAAUGUUUUUAAUUUACAAGUUACGGUCUUAACUCAUUAUGCGAUGUGGGUGUUCGAGUAGUAUUACAACCAUAUUUUUUUUAGUCUUAUUUCCAUUUUAGUUGCA